UACGUAGGUGGCAAGCGUUGUCCGGAAUUACUGGGCGUAAAGGGCGUGUAGGCGGGGCGGCAAGUCAGAUGUGAAAUCCCAUGGCUUAACUGUGGAGCUGCAUCUGAAACUGUCGUUCUUGAGUGUCGGAGAGGAAAGUGGAAUUCCCAGUGUAGCGGUGAAAUGCGUAGAGAUUGGGAGGAACACCAGUGGCGAAGGCGGCUUUCUGGACGAUAACUGACGAUGAGGCGCGAAAGAGUGGGGAGCAAACAGG
rnacentral:rRNA from 1 species